GAUUUUUGUCUCGCCUGCGACGAAUGUCGCGAAGCGAGACAUAGCGACCAUAGAUUCCGUCGUCGUCGUCGUCGUCGGCGUCCAACUUUUGGUUAACCCAAAUGUCAAAGUUUUAUAAACUGCAAUAACUUUCUCAAAUUUUAUUCAGUCUUCUUGAAAUUUGGACACAAUAUUCAGUAUGGAUAAAAAUUUAUAUCCCAAGUAUGAUUUUGAAAAAAAAAAUUCAAAUUUUUCCGUAUUUUUUCCUUAAGUUGGACUUAGUUUUUUCAUGAUAAUUUAUGGUGAAGACCUAUAUUCCAGCAACUAUAAGUUAUAGGGAUAUGAUAAUUAGUCAGUGGAUACAUCAUGGGUAACCACAAACGUCAGUACCAGAAUUAGGUCAUCUUGACCUACAUUUUUCUGCAUGAGUGACUUUGGUUAAAUUUUUGGUGGAGGUCCAUAUCUCAGCAUCUAUAACUUAUAAUGGCAUGAUGAUUUGUCAUUGUACAGGUUAUAAGUAACCAACAACAUCAGUACCAGAAUUAGGUCAUUUUGACCUACAUUUUUCUGCAUGAAUGACUUUGGUUAAAUUGAUAAUGGAGGUUCAUAUUUCAGCAACUAUAACUUAUAGUGGCAUGAUAGUUAGUCAGUGGAUACAUCAUGGGUAACCACAAACGCCUGUACCAGAAUUAGGUCAUCUUGACCUACAUUUUUCCGCAUGAGUGACUUUGCAUAAAUUUAUGGUGGAGGUCCAUAUCUCAGCAACUAUAACUUAUAGUGGCAUGAUAAUUUGUCAGUGGAUACAUCAUGGGUAACCACAAACGCCUGUACCAGAAUUAGGUCAUCUUGACCUACAUUUUUCCGCAUGAGUGACUUUGCAUAAAUUUAUGGUGGAGGUCCAUAUCUCAGCAACUAUAACUUAUAGUGGCAUGAUAAUUUGUCAGUCUACACAUCAUGGGUAACCAACAAUAUCAGUACCAUAAUUAGCGACAGCAGGCGAGACACAGGGUUGCGGGCAACCCUUACGUACUUUUAUUU